GAUGAACGCUGGCGGCGUGCCUAAUACAUGCAAGUCGAGCGAACAGACGAGGAGCUUGCUCCUCUGACGUUAGCGGCGGACGGGUGAGUAACACGUGGAUAACCUACCUAUAAGACUGGGAUAACUUCGGGAAACCGGAGCUAAUACCGGAUAAUAUAAUGAACCGCAUGGUUCAAUAGUGAAAGACGGUUUUGCUGUCACUUAUAGAUGGAUCCGCGCCGCAUUAGCUAGUUGGUAAGGUAACGGCUUACCAAGGCGACGAUGCGUAGCCGACCUGAGAGGGUGAUCGGCCACACUGGAACUGAGACACGGUCCAGACUCCUACGGGAGGCAGCAGUAGGGAAUCUUCCGCAAUGGGCGAAAGCCUGACGGAGCAACGCCGCGUGAGUGAUGAAGGUCUUCGGAUCGUAAAACUCUGUUAUUAGGGAAGAACAAAUGUGUAAGUAACUAUGCACGUCUUGACGGUACCUAAUCAGAAAGCCACGGCUAACUACGUG
rnacentral:rRNA from 1 species